UAGGCCCCGCAACAGGACAGUGGUGGUUUGCUGUUGUAGCUGUUGGUUUCAAACAGGAGCAAAGAAUGACGACUUCCUUGUGGUCUGUUGGCUAUUCAGUAUCCCAGUGCAAAUGGCCAAUUCAGUUGGAAGAAACAUGU
rnacentral:snoRNA from 1 species